rnacentral:lncRNA from 1 species
CUGAGGUUAUACCAUCCGAUCUUCCAUUUCCCUUGUCAUAAUCAUUUAUGGUCUACCACUUGACAUGACACAUUCGUACAACAAUAUUUAUAGAGGAUCUCACGUGCCGGGAGCUGUUCCAGAUUCAGGGCCAAUAAAUACUUGCAACUGGGGUCAAAAGAGUGUUCUAAUAGACUCUCCACUCCUUCUCUUCUAUAACCCCAUCAGCACCUGAAGCUUUUGUUAUGGGACUGUCACUGCUGGUAAAGAAGAAUGUCCUUGGGUCAAGGCUCAGCACGGAAGCUGAGUGAAGAUGAGCCAGUCUUCGUUCUCUCCAUCUUAAGUGGUCUUACUCUGAAUCAAGGCUCUCACACUCAAAUACCUGAAGAAGCAAUGGAGGUCACCUAGACGUGAAGGUGGCUGGGUUAGGAAAAUAGGAGAGUUAGGAGCCUCCUCGAGAGACGUUCAGAUUCUGCUGUUUAAAACACGGUGCUUGCCAAAGAGAACUCAUCUAUCAGCCACUAGCUUCUAACUGAUGCUCUUAAUGGAACUCCAAAGGGAGAAGGAUUAAAUCAGGUGUCAGCAAAGUUUUUCUGUCAAGGGCCAGAUUGUAAAUAUUUUCAGCUUUGCAGGCCAUAGUCUCUGUCACAACUAGUCAACUCUGCCAUUGAGCCAUGAAAGCAGCCAUGGACAUACAUAAACAAAUGAGCAUGGCUGUGUUCCAAUCGGAGUUAGCCCGCUGGCCAUAGAUUGCCAACGCCUGGGCUGAAUCAUUCCUAACCACCUCCUUUCUCAGAGAAAGAGAGGAAGUGGGUCCUACUCAUCUUCACCUCCCUGGAACUAAGGAGCAUGUAGUAUGUGGCAAAUGCUCAGGAAGUGCUAGGAGAUCCAGUGACUCCAGGAGAAAGUGUGCUCCUGAGGAUCAAGCUGGUGUUCAGAGCUCAAACCGCCUGUCCCAGAAAAGGGCUGAAGAUGAAAGUCUCUGACUUGGAGGAACUCUUCUCUCUGAGCAAAGUCCAGGGUUGGACUAAAUGAGCCUUGAAGUUCCAUCUAAGCUGGAAAACACUUGAAGACAAGACAGAGGGCAGAAAAUAUAGUCUCUUGAAUGUGUCUUCUAUCCCAGCUCCCAGCUGCAAGAUUAAGCAGAUUUGGAGACUCCAAGUAUCUAACCAUGUUUUGCACAACGUAGAAGCCUGAGUUCUUCCUCUGACUUGGAAUGGCCUUUCCAAGGCUGG